rnacentral:rRNA from 1 species
UACGUAGGGUGCAAGCGUUGUCCGGAAUUAUUGGGCGUAAAGAGCUCGUAGGCGGUCUGUUGCGUCGGCUGUGAAAACCCGGGGCUCAACUCCGGGCCUGCAGCCGAUACGGGCAGACUAGAGUUCGGCAGGGGAGACUGGAAUUCCUGGUGUAGCGGUGAAAUGCGCAGAUAUCAGGAGGAACACCGGUGGUGAAGGCGGGUCUCUGGGCCGAUACUGACGCUGAGGAGCGAAAGCGUGGGGAGCGAACAGG